rnacentral:rRNA from 1 species
GAUGAACGCUGGCGGCGUGCCUAAUACAUGCAAGUCGAGCGAACAGACGAGGAGCUUGCUCCUCUGACGUUAGCGGCGGACGGGUGAGUAACACGUGGAUAACCUACCUAUAAGACUGGGAUAACUUCGGGAAACCGGAGCUAAUACCGGAUAAUAUAUUGAACCGCAUGGUUCAAUAGUGAAAGACGGUUUUGCUGUCACUUAUAGAUGGAUCCGCGCCGCAUUAGCUAGUUGGUAAGGUAACGGCUUACCAAGGCAACGAUGCGUAGCCGACCUGAGAGGGUGAUCGGCCACACUGGAACUGAGACACGGUCCAGACUCCUACGGGAGGCAGCAGUAGGGAAACUUCCGCAAUGGGCGAAAGCCUGACGGAGCAACGCCGCGUGAGUGAUGAAGGUCUUCGGAUCGUAAAACUCUGUUAUUAGGGAAGAGCAAAUGUGUAAGUAACUAUGCACGUCUUGACGGUACCUAAUCAGAAAGCCACGGCUAACUACGUG